rnacentral:rRNA from 1 species
GACGAACGCUGGCGGCGUGCUUAACACAUGCAAGUCGAACGGAAGGGCCCGGCGUUUGUGUGUUGCUUGAUUGGCGAGCGGGUGAGUAACACGUGUGGAUCCUGCCCUUGACUUUGUGAUAACUUCAGGAAACUGCGGCUAUUAUAGCAGAGGAUCUUCUGCUGCGUGGUGUUGAUUGGUAAGUGUCGGUGGUUGGGGCUGUUCUCGAGGCUUAUCAGCUUGUUUGUGUGGUAGUGACUUACCAAGGCUUUGACGGGUAGCCGGCCUGAGAGGGUGAACGGCGACAAUGGGCCUGAGAUAGGGACCAGAAUCCUACGGGACGCAGCGGUGGGGAAUCUUGCACAAUGGGGGGAAGCCAGAUGCAGAAACGCCGCGUGCGGGAUGCCGGCCUUCGGGUGGUGAACAGAUUUCGACUGUGACGAAGAGUGAGUGACGGUAAUGGGUAAAGAAGCACCGGCUAACUACGUG